GAAUGAGAGGCUAGGAAAAGAAUAUUUACCUUGUUCAUCAGAGAGAGCACCUAAUAUCCUCUCGACAAGGUCCUACAAGUGAGAUUUACAGAAAGGUCAUACAUAAUUUAAUACAAUGCAGAUAAGUGACGUAAGAACAAUUAUCACAGCCCCCAAAAUUUUUAAGGCCCUUGCUAAAUCUGCCAGUAAAUAGUUUAAAAUUUUAGGAGCAACACACUGGAAUACCAAUGACCUCACAGACAAACGAGUGAAAACUCAUUAUUCACCUCUGAACACUCAAAAUACCAAAAGGAGCAAAACAAAAGCAGAAGCAUGAACUAAAUAUGAGAAGAGUAAAAAUCCACCUAACACCUACCCCUUUCAAAUAAAUAAUAAUGCAAUCUCAUCAAACACCGUUAAACGUUAAAAUAGUUAAAAUACAGUGCAUUAUCUAAAGCUUCUGCUAACCUGCUUCUUCCCCUGCUUUGAAAGACCCAAUUGAGUGAGAACAUCCUUGAGUUCUUUUAUUCGAAAAUAUGCCAAUUUAUCCUACAAUAGGAAAAACAUAUUGGUAUUAGCUCUCCAUGCACAAUUUCUUUUUAAGAUAGCCAAAAAAGCAUCAAUGUAUUAGCAUCACGCAUAACAAGAAGCAACUGAAAACAUGUAAAUUUAUCUACUGACUUUCAGCUUAAGAAUUUAGUCUUAUACUCAGACUAACAAAGUAAUAAAAUGAGUACAAAAUGCCAUUAUUUAAGUGAAGAUAUAAAUAAAGUUAGAGAAGCAGCUGUGCACAGCUGAUACUAAUUUUCAGCUUAUAAAUAACUGAAACCAACAAAAGCAUCCAUAAUGAGCUUACUCACAAACUUAAAACUACUUGAUUUGCAGAAGCCACUUAAGAACAACAGGAUAUCUCCACUAUCAAACUAAGUUAAGUAUUUGAAAUCCCCUCUAUAAUGGAUUAAUAGAUAUCCAAAUAUUAGAUUACAUUGCAAAAGCCUAGUUGGUUGAAUUUGAUAAAGAAACAAAUAAUGAUAAUAUCAUCAAAAGUUCAGUUCUCGAACAAUUUUCAUUAGUUAACUCCUGUAUAAUUACACUGAAAAUAUGAAGAAAAAAAAUGUAUCCAUAUUAUUUUAUGCAAAAAAUGAGAAAAAUACCUUGCAACUAGCCACCAAAUCCAUAUUCAGUUUACAAUCUGUAGCCAAGCAAAAACCAGUAAUCAAAAACUUAAAACUCUCAAAAAAAAAAAAGCAAUCGAUCUAAUCAUCAAUAACCAAAACAAGACAGCUAAAUCUUAAAUUAAAUUAAAUUAAUCGAUCAAUCAUCAACCAAAAACAUAGAAUCAAUUUAAUAAACCUUACGAGUUCUCCGAUUAUGAAUAAAACAAAGGAAAAUUAAAAGAAAACUUGUGAUGGAUCGAAGGAACGUUGGGGAAAUAGGGUUCGAGCAGUGGAGGUCGCCGACUUUUUUUUCCCCUUUUUUUUUCUAUUGACCAAAGAGACCCAAGCAGAAGGAACCAAUUCCUUUGAAAAAUUUUACAAAAGUGACCGGACUUAUCGCCGAUUAUCGAAUUCGGUUUUUUGAACGGGAACACGUCCGGGUUUAGUUUCGGUGAAGUUGCGUGUUCAUUUUGUAAGAUACGCCCGCCCUUUUUUAUUAUUUUCUUUGGGAAUUUCGCGGUACUUAUGUACGUACGUUAACUGUAGCUAGCGGUUGAAUGUGAUUCUGCCACGUCAGUGCUUUUCUGGACUGAGAAAUGAUGGUGGACCUUUUUUAGCCGUUGAUUUUGCCGUGAAGUUUAAGUUUUUUCUUUGGCAAAUUUACAUUAUUGAGUCUUCAGUCUAACUUUAGACUUAUUACAAGUCAAUUAAUAUAAAUUAAUGUAAAAUAUUUGUUGAACAUUAAAAUAUUUUUUUUUAUAAUUAAGAAAUUAAACUUUAAAUUAUAUUUUAUAGUUGAAAUGAAUAUAAUAUUUAUUGUGUGUAUUAAUGAAAAUAUAAUUAAUAAUUUUUUCAACAUUUAUACUAUUAUUGAAUACCAAAUGUUAAUAAAAUUAUAAUAAAGUGUGGGGUGUACCUCAUAUUUUCGACUGAACAGAUAGCGAUAUUAUGAUAAGAAGCUUCUUGACGUUGUGACAAUAGACGACAUUGAGAUGAUGCGAAUGGAACGUUGCGACGUGUUUCCCACAUAAACCAUAUUUCUUCUCUCAGUUAAACUCUACUGUUGUUUCUAAGUAAACUCUAAUUACUUUAAGGAUAUUUUAGUCAUUUUAGUUUUUUAAAGUGGCCUUGUAUCCCUAUUCUGAAAGGUUAAUUAAGAGGCAAUUAAAUAUGUAGUAUUGCAAGGUUUUUUUUAGGGGGCGACAAGAUAUAGUCAUAGAUGAGUUUUGAUGUGAGUUUUUGUGGUAAUUACUGUGAGAAUUGUGUUCCAGUUUUAAGAAAACUCUAUGAGAGUUAGGGUUUUUGUUUCAAUGUUUGGGUUUAUAUGUUUAGUACAUCUAGGUUUAUUUUCUUCAUAUUAUAUUAUUAUUUGUUUACUUGUUUAGUGAAAAGUUGAAGCCUCAUUUACUCGUGGUAAUCCUCUUCAAAAGAGUUUUUCACAUAAAUAUUUGUGUUUUCGAUCUUCUCUACCAUUUCUAGUUUAUAAUUUAUACAGAUCAAUUCCAACAUAAAUUUGUUAAUUUUUUUACUAAUAUAUUUAUUUUUAAACAAAUGUAAUUUAACUUUAUAAAAAAACAUUAACAAAAUCUAACAAUUUUGUUUUUAAUCAUUAUAUUCAUUUAAAUUUUUAAUCACUAAACUCUUCAAUGAUUUUAUUCGAUCUUUUUUCUUUUAUUUUUAUGAUAUUUGUAUUUGUUUGCGGCUCUAUAAAACACUUCCUCUAAGCAAUAACAGAUUUUUAACACGUCUAAAAUGUUUAUAAUUUGGUGCCCAAUUAUCAAAUUUCCACAUUCUUGAAUAAUGUUAAAUUAUUGAUUAUAACUUUUUUUAUCAUAUUUGGAAAAUUUUUAUUAUUUUGGGUUUUUGCCUAUGAUUUUUUUUUCUGUUUUUAAAUUAAUUAAAUGUAGACAUUGUAAGGAAAUAAGAUUUUUAAUAAAUAAAUUAGUAAUGGUAAAAAAUAUUUAAGAUUUGGGGUUUUAAAAGAUUAAUAAAUCAAUGGUGAAAUUAGCAUUUAGGGUUUAAAUUUUUUUAGGGUACAAUAUAAAAGUAAAAAAGAAAAGAGGUUAAUGUAAGGGAAUAACUAAUUUGCAUGUUGAUAUUUGGAAUGCCACUCCCUAAAUUAGAAAAUCUGUCACAUGGUAGCGUGUCUGCACUAUUAGGCGGGUAUGUUUCAAAAGAGUGCAAAUGUCUUCCGAUAAUUAUUCUAACUUCUAAUGUAUAGUGGACUACUUAUAGACAAUUGAAGUCCAUUUUGUAUUUUGGUUGUAAUGACAUUUUUGUGGGUAAUUCAAAUAGAUUCCAAUUUAUUUAGGAGGUGACAGAAUAGAUUUAUAAUUUAUUUGGUGUUGAUAAAUGUAUCACAUUACAUAUUAAAAUUUAAACAAUUAUGAUGUGUUAUUUUAUUAACCGACGCUUAAAAAGUGACUUUUAUGGUUUAUAUUUGAGAUCCGAGAUUCGAGGCUAUAUUUUAUAAAACAAUUAAUAUAUUUUACGUUAAACAAACAAUUUACAUUAAAUUUACUAAAUAAACAUAUAUUAUUUGACUUGGAAUAAGUCUAAAGUUAACUUAGACUCGAAACCCAAAUAUUGUAAAUUGAAAAAUAAAAAGUAAAUUACAUCGAAAAUUACUAAAUUAUUAGUAAAUUGAUGUUUUGAAAAACUUAACUUUAGAAAGUUAUAAAAUGAUCAUUGAACUAUUUGAAGGUUUUCAUUUAAGUUACUAAGCUAUUCUGGAGUUUUUAGUUAAGUCACUGAACUAUUCAAAUGUUUUUAUUUAAUACAUUGGGUUAUUAAGAUUUUUUUUUAAGUUCGACUAGUGAGUUUUAAGUGAUGAUUCAAUGACUAAUGCUGACUCAUCGACAAGUAGAAAAACAUAUAUAAAAAGUCCAAGUUGAUCUCACGGCCAAUGUCAAAGAUUGGAGAAAAAGACUAUUUGAAUUUUGGUUUGCAAAUUCAUGAUGUUCAAAGUUGGUUAAUAAGAAAAACCUAAAUUGUAGAAGAGAAUAGGAAGAAGAACUUUGAAUUUGUGCAAGCGAUGCAAAUAGAGAAGGUCAUACAACAAUAAUCUUAACAGUCUAGUGACUUAAAUAAAUUUUUUUAAUAAUACAAUGAUUAUUUUGUAAUUUUUUGAAAUUAAGGGUCUGUUUGAUAGCCAGUAAAAUGUUUUCCGUAAAAUGAUUUUUGGAAAAUGUUUUACUUUUCUGUAAAAUGAUUUACUGGACAAUAUUUUCUGGUGUUUGAUUGAAUCUGUGUAAAAUAUUUUCUGCUGUUUGGCAGAUUCCUUGAAAAUAUUUUCUGAAAAAGUUGUUUUUACAUAUAUUAAUAUAUACUAAUAAAUUUUUAUAUUUUAAAUUAUUUUUACAUAUAUUGCAAUGAUUUAUUUAUAAUAAUACUCAAUUAUUAAGCUACAAUAUUAAUUGUUAUAAAUUGAAAAAAACUAAUAUCAAAUAAAUUAUUUGUAAUUGUGUUAAAAAAACAAGUAUUGAAUAAUUAAAAAAAUAAAUUACUGGAAAAUCGAUAAAUAGAAGCAGUUUUCUACCGGAAAUGAAGGAAGGAAUGAAGGAGGCGAUAAAGAGGAGAGCACGGAAAAUGUCUUACAGAAAUUAAAAGGGUAAGACAUUUUCCCUAAAAAUGUAACUCAUUUUGCCUUGUUUUGGAGUUCAUUUUCCAAAUGUAAAAUGUUUUCCGCCAAUCAAAUGCUGGAAAAGUUGAAAAUGAUUUUUCGGAAAAUCAAUUCCGUCAAUCAAACAGACUCUAAGUAAGUAAAAUGUAAACUUACAACUAAAUUAGUAACUUUUUGGUGUAGUUUAUUCAUAUCCAAAAUGAAAAAAUCUUGAAAAAUUCACGGCAAAAUCAACGGCUGAAAACGUCCACCAUCACUUCGCACUACAAAAAAGUACUGACGUGCCAGAAUCAGAUCCCAAUGAUACUUAGAUUCAACGUACGUACAGAAGUACCCCAAAAUUUCCCGGAAAAAAGAAUAAAACAGCACGGGCGUAUCUUACAAAAUGAACACGCAACAGCACCGAAACUAAACCCGGACGUGUUCCCGUUCAAAAAACAGAAUUCGAUAAUCGGCGAUAAGUCCGGUCACUUUUGUAAAAUUUUUCUAAGGAAGUGGUUCCUUUUGCUUGGGUCUCUUUGGUCAAAAAAAAAAAAAGGAAAAAAAAGUCGGCGACCUCCACUGUUGGAACCCUAUUUUCCCAUUUUCUCUUUGAUUCAUCACAAAUUUUCUUUUAGUUUUCCUUCAUUUUAAUCAUUAUCGGAGAACCCGUAAGGUCCAUUAAUUUGAUUCUAUGUUUUUCUUUGAUGAUUGAUUGAUUAAUUUAAUUUAAUUGAAAAUUUUAGUGGUUUUGUUGUGGUUAUUGUUGAUUAGAUCGUUUGAUUAUUUUUUGAGAGUUUUAGGUUUUUGAUUACUGGUUUUUGCUUGGUUACAGAUUGUAAACUGAAUAUGGAUUUGGUGGCUAGUUGCAAGGUAUUUUUCUCAAUUUUUUUCGUAGUAUAAUAUAGAUUCAUUUUUUCAUAUUUUCAGUGUAAUUAUAUAGGAGUUAACUAAUGAAUAUUGUCUGAGAACUGAAAUUUUUAUGAUAUUAUAUGUUUAUUUCUUUAUCAAAUUCAAUCAACUAGGUUUUUGCAAUGUAAUCUAAUGCUUGGAUAUAUGGUAAUCCAUUAUAGAGGGGAUAUAAAAUACUGAACUUAGUUUGGUAGUGGAAAUUUUCUGUUGUUCUUAAGUGGCUUCUGAGAAUCAAGUAGUUUUAAGUUUGUGGGUAAGCUCAUUAAGGAUGGUUUUGUUGCUUUCAGUUAUUUUUUAAGCUGAAAAUUCGUAUCAGCCGUCCACAACGGCUUCUCUAACUUUAUUUUAUACCAACACUUAAAUUAUGGAAAUUUUGUACUUAUCAUUAUAUUAUUUUGUUAGUCAGAGUAUAAGACUAAAUUCUUAAGCUGAAAGUUAGUAAAUAUAUUUAUAUGUUUUUGAUGCUUGUUAGGCUUGAUGCUAAUACAUUGAUGCCUUUUUUGUUUAUCUUUAAAAGAAAUUGUCCACGGAGAGCUAAUCCCAAUAUGUUUUCCUAUUAUAGGAUAAAUUGGCAUACUUCCGAAUAAAAGAACUCAAGGAUGUUCUCACUCAAUUGGGUCUUUCAAAGCAGGGGAAGAAGCAGGUUAGCAGAGGCUUUAGAUGAUGCUCUGUAUUUUACUUGGUUCAUCCUCUUGUUUGGAAUGCUUCUGUUGAAUCUUGUUCUUAUUGCCCUGUGUUCAUGGUUCACUCUGUUUUUACUUUUUUUCAUUUCUCUGCAUAUAGCUAGUAAAUAUUUUAACUUUUUAACAGUUUUUGGUGAGAUCACAUUAUUAUUAUUUUUAAAGGGUAGGUGUUAAGUGGAUUUUUUACUUCUCUUUUUCUCUUCAUGCUUGUUCUUUUUGUUUGCACCAAAUGGUAUUUUGAGUGUGCUGAGGUGAAUCAUGAAUUUUCACUCGUUUGGUGUGUUGCUCCUAAGUUUUUAAACUAUUUACGGGCAGCAGAUUUAGCAAGAGCCUUAAAAAUUUUGGGGGCUAUGAUAAUUGUUCUUUUGUCAGUUAUCAGUAUUUUUAAUAUAAUUUGCAACCUCAUGGUGUAGGAUUAUAUUUGACCUUUCUGUAAAUCUCACUUGUAGGACCUUGUUGAGAGGAUAUUAGGAGCUCUUUCUGAUGAACAAGGUAAAAUGUUCUUUUCCUAGCUGUUCCUUCUGUUUGAAAAGGGAGCUUGUAGCCUCCAUAGUAAUUUAUGGAUUAUAUUUUCUUUUAAAUGUUUCUUUCUGGCACUACUUUUGCUAUCUUGUGACAUAUGUUAUCAGAGUGCUAGUAUUUAGCUGUUGAUGUUAUUGUGUCUUCAACUCAAUCAUAGUCAUACUGUUGGAUGUGAAAUGUAUGUUGUUUUCAGUUUUAGGGUGUAGGUCAGGUGCGGGGUCUCGGGAUGCAAUCAAGGAUAGUAAUUAUGCACCCGUUGUUCUGCCUAGUUAUACUUUUCUUCUAGUUUCUCAGGGUCACCGAUAUUGCAGCAUUUAACCCUUUGAUCUUCUAAUUUCAGUAUACUUUGUUGACAUUCCAAUGGCUCUUUGUAAUUUUUGUUAAGAGUGCAGUGUCUUGGGGAAGGUUGUAGACGAGUAUGCUUUUCAGUUGAAUUUUCACAUUUUCUGAUUUUUAGUGUCAUUAGACUGCAAUUAAUUCAGAUUUGGCUCUUAAGUCUGUUCAGAAACUACUACGUUCUGCUUUUAUAAUAAUGUAGGGCUUGCUUUCUGAUUUUCAGUUACGAAGAUGUGGGCAAAAAGGACUCCUGUGGGGAAGGAAGAUGUAGCAAAACUUGUUGAUGAUAUAUACAGGUUUGUAUUUAAAUUAGUUUGGAAUUAGUUUUUUUCCCUUCUGCGAACAAGGGCCGACUUACUAUUUAGAUAAGAUGAUGCUGGCUUACUGGAUUUAGCAUAUCAGGUUAUUAUAUGCAUUGAUUUUCUUUAUUUCCUCUUUCUAAAGUGUAUUUCUUGUCCUCAGGAAGAUGAAGGUUUCUGGUGCUACGGAAUUGGCAUCAAAGGGACAGGGUGUGUCAGACAGUAAUAAUGUUAAAAUUAAAGGAGAAGUAGACGAUCCCUUUCAACCAGAUGUGAAAGUUCGUUGUCCUUGUGGAAACUCAUUGGAGACUGACUACAUUAUCAUGGUAAUGAUAAUGAGCUUAAUGUUCUUUUCCUCAUUUUAUGUCGAAUGAUAUGGAUGUCACAAUUGUAUGUUUGGCAUUUUGGGGUGACCAGCUAUUUAAGAUUGUUUCUCUGGCUUUUCAAAUUGGGAUUUGUGUUUGCUUGAUACAAAAUAAUAUAUUAUGCUCAAUUUUUGUACUAUUUACUGCCUUUUGGUGGUAUCGUCUUAUGAUUUAGAAUUUUUGCGCCUUGACUUGCACACGCAAGCUAAGUCUUCAAAUCUCUAUCCAUGAAGUUGGUAGUUUUUCUAAAAUUCUUGAGGCUGUGAUCUUAAUGAAUCUAAUGACUUGUUUGACUGAUUUUGUUGGAUUUGAUAAUAAAGGCCAAUUUUGAACAAGUGUAUAGACUCGUGCACUCUAGACUUUCUCCUGGAUUUUCUUCUUGCCCUUUUAAUUUACGAUGGAACCGUUCAUCUCCCAUAGGUUGACAUUUAGCUCAAAACUGAAGUAGGUGCCUUUCCCAGUGGCCUUUUUCUGCAAUAGGUAUAUUCUAAUUCAGUUUUCUAGGUUUGUCUACUUUCAUAUGAAUCUUGCCCUGAUGCAAUUGCAUGAUAUAGCUUGCUUCUCCUGUUUUUUUACUUUUAUUGCCUGCUUUUUAUUGUUUCUAUUCAUAAUUUCAAUUUGUAUCAUAUGCUUUUCUCCAUUUUGAGAAUGGAUUCAUGAAUUCUGAGGACAUCGUUUUCUUAUUUUCCUCUACAAAAUUGUGCUUCUUGCAUCUUAAAUUGAGUUAUUGAUGUUUUUGCUUUCUCUCAUUGCUCUAUGCAGUGUGAGGAUCCAAGAUGCCAAGUAUGGCAACACUUUGGUUGUGUUAUAAUUCCAGAGAAGCCUAUGGAGGGAAACCCGGCAGUUCCUGAUUUCUUUUAUUGUGAGCUUUGUCGACUGAAGCGAGCUGAUCCGUAUGUCUCUCCUCUGUUUAUGUGUGUCUGUGUUUGUAUCCGUGUGCUUCCAAAUUGUGUGAUCACAUCAUAAUUGAUGAUCAAUCUUCUUACUGGUUACAGUUUGGUUAUUGGCUGAAGUUCAAUGUCAUAAUAUAGAAAUAUGCCAAUUAUAUUUUAUAGUUCAGAUCUAACUGAAUGUGUUCUAUCUUUAUAAAUGUUACAUAACAGACGUUUAUAUAUUAGUUUGGUUGGAUAAAGUUUGUUAUUAGGAUGCAAGAUUUGUAAAUAUUAUCUUACUUUUGUACCUUCCGCAACCUAGGGAGGAGAAGGGGAAAAAAGAGAUGAGUGUGAGGAAAUGUAAGAACUAGUUUUUGGUAGUGCACAUAAAAUCAGUGUUGUAUAGGGGUGCGCUUAGGUGUGCCUGCACAUUGUGCCUUAGUGGUGGACAACAAAAGCACCUUAGACAUUGCAAAAUACUGUUAUUUGCAGCUAUAAUUAUAUGCCUAUAUUGAUGUUCAAAAAGUUAAUACUGAAUCAUCCUUAUUAUUGAAGGAAGAUGCUAUUCGUCAAGCAGUUAGUGCUUGCUGCACCUUAUAUUUGUUUUCUACUGUGAACACUUCAUGAAGCAUUUAAAUGGUAUGCACUUGUAUGUAUAUAGUAUCCAUCUGGAUGCAUCAAGAAUAUCCUUUUCCAGGCUUAACAUUAGUGAGUUAGGAAAUACUGUUCAAUCAGUUAUACCUUGAUUUUAUGUUACAUCCUUUUAAAUCUUGAUUUGGUUCUGAAUGUGCAGUUUUUGUCUUACUAUUGCAAACCCUUUAUAUCCAGUGAAGUUGGCGAUUGCAAAUAUCCCUACUGAUGGGUAAGUUUACUAUAUGAGAAAUACUAGAGCUCUUCCCCCUCCCCAAAAAAGAACAGAAAAACAAUUUACUGCUUGUUUUGGUGUGAAUAUCAUUAUACUGUAAUCUCUAAUGCUUUGUGACCUCACUUAUAGUAGUUUAUUUAGUGAUACAUAUCCUGCAUUUUGCAGUACAAAUCCAAUGCAAAGCGUGGAGAAAACGUUCCAAAUCACCAGAGCAGACAAGGAGUUGUUGUCCAAACAAGAGUAUGAUGUCCAGGUUGACUAGUGCCAAAAAAAAGUGUGCAGUUUGGUAUAUUGCUUUUUGUUAUUUAUCAUGAUAUUUUUGUUUUUCUUCUUGUCAAAUAGGCAUGGUGCAUGCUUCUGAAUGACAAAGUUCCAUUCAGGAUGCAGUGGCCUCAAUAUGCAGAUUUACAGGUCAAUGGUACGAGUAUUAAUGGUUUUCUUUGACUACUUAGCAGUUUAUUGCUCCUUUUACGGCUUAAUUAUUUUUCUACUGUUUAUUGAGGAGCAUACUUGGAUCUAGCUAAAAGGGAAAAUAAAAUAAAAGAAGGAAGCAUGUUUAGUUUUUUUUUGCCUUGGAUUUUUCCUAAUUGCAACUUUGUUCUCCAGCUCGAAAUCAAUAUAAUUUUUAUGCAUUUUUCUAUUUCAACUUUGAUCAGUAACUGAGAGUUUUUUAAACAGGUGUUCCUGUUCGUGCUAUUAAUAGACCUGGCUCUCAAUUGCUCGGGGCUAACGGUCGUGAUGAUGGUCCUAUUGUAAGUUCUGUCCUAUAAUCAUAUGCUCCUUAGAAUUUACACUUUACAUGUUCCUGCAUGUGUCUGGAAUGGAUGGGGAAGCCUGCCGGCAGGUUAUUGAGCCUGUUACUUCUUGUUAGCUACCUAAGAAACAUCCAUUGUCUGAACACUUGUUUAUUGUGUAUUUUGUGGCCAGAUAUCUCCAUUUAUUAAAGAUGGAAUUAAUAAGAUAACUUUGACUGGAUGCGAUGCUCGCGUGUUCUGUUUUGGAGUUAGAAUAGUUAAACGACGAACUGUUCAACAGGUAUGUUCAGAACUUCAACCCUAUAUGGAUUGUUCAUACACUGGAAUUGCAAGAUUGAUUUCUUUGCUGUCUGGGAAUUUCUGUCGUAAAAAAAUAUAUAUGUUCCUUUUUGCAAAAUAAAAAGCUCAGCAUAUAAUGUUAUUUUCCAAUGCCUGCUAAUUCUUUGAUUACUUUAGGCAGUCUAGAUUGGUUUGCUCACAAAGCAGAACAGAAUGCAAAUAUAUUUAGUGCUGUCAUAGUUGAUCAUGUUAUUUUCAUUUGACUGCAUCGGAUUUAUGUUUCAUGUUUUCUGCAAAAAUGACUACAGAUUAGACAUUUGACUGCCUAUUAAUUAUUGCAUGGCAUUUUGGGUGAGGUGCCUGUGUCAGUAUGACAUUGAAAUGGGUAUGGGAUCCAAUAAAUUAGGCUGGGGAGAAUGCCACUAAAUUAAUUGGUUUCCUGAGGAAAGCUUUUUUGCCACCUUAUUUUCCCCUUUUGCCUUCUUCAAUUACUUUAAAAAUCUUAAUACGACCUGAUGAACAAGAGCGUGUCAUCAAUGAAGGUAAUCAGAGGAAAAGAAUGAAGAACAAAGAGGGAAUGGUGCUUUAUCAAGGCUGUAAUUUUAAUAAUUAACUUGAAGAGCUGGAAAAACUGGAGAGACUACUGUAGAGGAAAAAACUAGAAAUGAAGAGAAGGAAAUUGUGAGAUCAGAUUUGGGGCUUUCUAAUCUUUGUUAUGCAAAGGGCUCCAUUCUUCACUUUAUUAACAUGGUCAACUGAGUUUUUUUUUUGGUUCCUUUAUGGAUCGUUUAUUGUGCAUACUGUUGCCUGUUGGUUUGCAUAAUAUGGUCCCCUUUCAAUAGAAUAAUUGAGAAUUUAAGAAGUAAUGAGAUUUCUGCCUGAAUUUAUUUAAAUGUUUUGGGCUGGUAAUGAGGUUUACAUGCUUUUAUGAUUUUGGUUUGUUUUUUAGUUUCGGAACCAAAAAUAUCUAGUUUUAGCGCUAGAUAAUGUAUUUUCUCCUACUAAUGGAAAUAUUAGGCACUUUCUUUUUCUUCGGCCACAUAUUAUCAUAUGGCUUAGUACUAUAGAUUAAACUACAAACCCUGCAUGGGUAUGCAGCCCAAACUAACUUGCCUAUCUCUACUAUGCCUGUCCUAGAUACUCAACACGAUUCCUAAGGAGAAUGAAGGUGAACGUUUGGAAGAUGCUCUUUGUCGCGUUCGUCGUUGUGUUGGUGGUGGAACUGCAACUGACAAUGGUGAUAGUGACAGUGACCUAGAAGUUGUUGCAGAUUUUUUUGGAGUCAACCUACGCUGCCCUGUGAGUUAUACAGUUUUAUAAUAUGCUAGCGAUCUAUUGCCUAUAUUUCUGCUGAUUUGCACGAUUUUUGUUCUAAAAAUAUUACAUGCAAUUGAUUAGGCAUCAUUUUUCAAGUAUUUAAUUAGUGUAGUUUGUGAAGCAUCUCUAGAAUAGAUGGUUAUGUGCCCUGCAAAAUUCGUGGAUCAAAUUCUUGUAGCAUCACUUAUGUGUCAGCUUAGUUACUGUAAAAUGUUAAUAGUGGAGGAAUCUAACUUCUUCAUGUGUACAUGGUUGUAUUAACAUUGGUAGAGGCUAUUAUGCAUGUUUACUUGUGCAUGGUCAUUAAUGAAUAAAAACCGGACAGGAGGUGAAAUUGUGACACCCCUGGUUCAACCGGUUGAACUGGAGUGUUCAGUUAAAAAUAAUUUAGUAUUAAACAUGUCUUUUAUAUUUAAUAUUCAAUACAAAUUAUUAGUUGAUAAGAAUUUGUAUGUCUUUACAUAUGAUUAAUUAGAAGUUCAAAUCUCAUCACUUGUAAAUAAUAAAAUUAACAAAAAAAUGGUUAACUACUGUGUUAGUUCAUGUACCUGAAUAGAUUUCAGUGCCAACCAAUUUGAAUGGACUAUUUCUUCACUGUGCUCUCCUUUUACCGUUGCUUUGUGAUAUUCAUUUUUAUUUGCAUAUCCUUGACAGAUGAGCGGCUCAAGAAUGAAGGUCGCUGGAAGGUUUAAGCCUUGCGUUCACAUGGGUUGUUUCGAUCUUGAAGUUUUUGUGGAGCUUAACCAACGCUCUAGGAAGGCAAGCUACAAUAUUACAGUGCUUGUUAUUUUUUGUAAUUCUUUCAGGCUUUUUGACAAGCAUUAGCAUGAAUGCAGUGGCAGUGCCCAAUUUGCUUGAAGAACUACUCACUGGAACACAUUAUAAUUGAUCCUUAUUUUAAUCGCAUCACAUCCAAGGUCAGUACCCUGUUCUAUAUUUAUCUUCAUGAUGUCAAUUUGUGAUAUUGAUGAUCGGCUAUCAUACAGAUGAGCAAUUGUGGCGAAGACAUUACUGAGAUUGAGGUCAAGCCUGAUGGUUCUUGGCGUGCAAAGGCUAAAAGUGAAAAUGAACGCAGAGAGCUUGGUGAUCUUGCACUAUGGCACUCUCCUGACAGUACCCUAUGUGAAUCAGGCAGUGUGGAGGAUAAGCCAACAGCUGAAAUUUCGAAGCAGAUCAAACUUGAAGGUACUUCUGAAGGACAGACAGGUUUGAAACUCGGAAUAAAGAAGAAUCAAAAUGGGUACUGGCAGUUUAGCAAGCCUGAAGACUUGAACAACUCUUCUGCUAGUAGAUUACAAGACAGGCUACGUCAUGAGCAAAAAUUUUUACCAAUGAGCAGCAGCGCUACCGGAAGUGGUAAGGAUGGUGAAGAUGCCAGCGUAAAUCAGGAUGCUGGUGGAACUUAUGACUUUACAAGCAACGGGAUUGAACUUGAUUCUGUGCCUCUGAACGUAGAUUCAGCAUAUGAAUUUACUGACCAAAACCAAUCUGCAACAGCAGGAAAUGCAGAAGUUAUUGUUCUUAGUGAUUCAGAUGAAGAGAAUGAAAUAUUGAUAUCUCCUCCAACUGUGUAUAAGGAUAAUCACAACCAAAAUGAUGGUGGGGGACUUGGUUUUCCGGUUGCACCUCCUGGAAUUUCUCAUCCAUAUUCAGAAGAACCACCUCUUGGGCCUGCUGCUAAUUUGGGUCUUUUUACUCCCAAUGAUGAAUUCGACAUGCCUCUGUGGUCAUUACCUUCGGGAUCUCAAGAUGGUUCUGGGUUUCAACUAUUUAAUACAGAUCCGGAUGUUGCAGAUACCUUAGUUGAUCUGCAGCGAAGUUCUCUCAAUUGCCCUUCGACAAUUAAUGGUUAUCCAUUGGCUCCUGAGACAACAAUGGGAUCUACAACUCUAGUCCCUACUUGUUCCAUUGGUCAGGUUGAUACAAAUCUAAAUGACAGCUUGGUUGACACUACCCUCUUUGGUGGAGAGGAUCCCUCACUUCAGAUAUUUCUUCCAACGCAUCCUUCAGGUGCAUCAGCAGAGUCUGGUUUCAGAGAUGAAGCUGACGUAUCGAACGGCAUCCGUACCGAUGAUUGGAUCUCACUUAGUCUUGGAGGUGGUGCAAGUGUCGGCCAUGGGGACUCGACAACUGUGAAUGGAUUGAAUUCAAGGCAACCAAUACCUUCCAAAGAGCGUGCUAUGGACACUGGUUAGUUCCCUUGCUCUUUUGGAAAAAGCGCUAUAUUAAAAAUUUGGAAAAAAAUGUAUAUACUUGUAUCUGGCACACAAGUUUGAGAUUAGUAAUUCACCGCAUUAGAAUUUUUCCUAGCUCCAUCACUGUUCUGAAGUUUCUAGCAUUGAUUGUUACUUCCUUCUGCAGCUUCUCUGUUGCUUGGUAUGAAUGAGAGUAGAAAUGGGAAGUCAAGUAGGCAAAGAACAGAGAGCCCUUUCUCAUUUCCUCGGCAAAAACGGUCAGUUCGACCAAGAUUAUAUCUCUCUAUUGACUCAGACACCGAGUAAUUGUGUUCGCAUAAAUUUAACGGCAACUUGUGGAUAAAUUUGGUGAUCACUCAUGAAGAACUGGGCUUGCAUUUCAGUUAAAACACGAAAUUAAAAUUUUCAGAAUGAAAGUGCUGCCAAAUUAAAAAGAAGGGGGCAGCUUCAACGUUGCUGUGUUGAUGACUUUUCCGAGGUGAGGUCGGAACAGGAGGCCUUCAAUUCCUGUAAGUGUUGAAACCUCAGAUUCUAAUACUAGUUUAUUCUAGGCGUGGUAGCAUAAAACAAGCAGUUUUUACCUAGAGUUAAAAAGCACUGAGGGAGGUCGUUUUUGAGUAAAAAUGUACAGUUAAAAUGGAAUUUUGGGUAAAUGGAUAUGCAUGCAGUUGUGGGGGGUGAAGUGAGCACAAAAAGAUUCCACCUAUUUUGCCUAUUUUUUGGUCUAAAAGACAGUUGGGAUCAAAUAGAUUUGUAAAUUCACUUAAAUUCAUAUAGAAACCCCCUUUUUUUAUUUUAAUUGUAUUCCUUUUGGCUGAAAAUUUUCCUUUGGCAUUGCUGCUAUAUUUUUAAUAGAUGCAUGCGUAGCUUUGUUAUGGUGCAUGACACUUAGGAUCUGGUAUGAUUAUUAUUGUUAUUAUAGGGGUUCAUGGAAAUCGGAUCUAGUUGGGUCAAGCUGUUGACAUGUAUAAUAUUGAUCAAUAUCGUAUAUAUUUUGUUUACAUAUAUGAUAUAUCAUUAUUUGUACAACAGUUUAGGUCAUAAUGUUUUGCAAUUGAGUAAAUUACGGUAGUAAUCACCUAAUUAUGGAUUUUUUAAACACUCAAUUAUGAAAUAGACUCAACCGCUAGUAAACUUUUUUUUAUUAAAAGUUAUAAAAUGGUGAUUUAACCAUUUAAUUGUCUUUUUUUUGUCAUCUAAUUAUUUUUAAUUUUUGGGUGUUUUUUACUUUUAUAGUAGUCAGCUGAGUGAGUUUACACCCCUUGCAAUUUUGGUUUCUGGUAUUCAUGUUUCUUCGUAGAAGAAUAGUGUUUUAGAUUCUUUUUAUAAAAUUUUGAAACAUUAUUGUUAUUACUUAUAUCAUAAUGAUGUCCAUAUCUUUGUAAAAAAAAUGCGAAAAUUAAUUCUUUUAAAAAAGUUGUCUUAAAAAUGUCUUGAAAUUUUCAUAUAUAUAUUUUUUAAAAUUAAAAACUUUAAAAAAAUAAUCGAAUGAUUGUUGUAUUAUUUUAACUUUCACCUUCGGCAUGUCUGGUAAUAUAACGUAAAAUAAUAGAAAUUAUGUGAACAGAUACCAGUUAAAAUAUUUUAUCCUAAAACAUAAAACAUUCAUGUUUAGCAAGAAGGAAGAACAUGAAACUGCAACAGUAAUGCAAAAAAAGCUAACAAAGUCUUAGUCUUCAUUUUCAGGUUGAAGAACUGAGAGCAAAUUCAAAGCUGAAGAGCCGAUAUGCAUUCCUCGAACUAUGCCUCCAUAUCCAUCUUUUAUUCUGUGGCACAAUAACAAUAUUGAAUCCCACAGUGCUGUUCUCCCCUGAAAAACAUAUACAUGCCAUCAAAUUUUUUGAUGAACUUAACCUCGGGACUAAAAUUCAUGUCAGACUCAUCCACUAUCCAAGUAACAUGGCAUCUAACUCGUAUGUGUUUACGUCUUUUCCAUCAACCAAAGAUUUGUCCAAAUGAAUCUUAACUAUCCAACCACGACAAUACUACAUUUCCAACGAUUAACAAGAACUGCAAUUAUUCACCCUUAUAUCAUCUUCAGAUGCUGAUAUGGAAUUUCUUUAGUAGUUAUUAAUAACUAUGUCAUGCUAUUUACUACCUAUGAAAAAGUAGUUAAAAUAGAGCUUUACCUGAAGAGAGAACUGCAAUUUCUUGUCCCAGUAUAAGGCGAAAAUGGGGAGACUCUGUUUCCCUAUUGCCAGUAUGCAAGCUCCAGGAUGAAGGGUCGAAGGAACACCAGAUAAAAUAGCAAUGUACUUCUCUGGAAUCCUGUCUCUCGGCAAGGUUCCGAAGAACAAGGGAUUCUUACUAGAUUGAGCUCCAGCAUACGAAGUCGGGUCAACAUGUAACAUCCAUUUUGGAUGCUCUAGAAAUGCGCAAAACAGGUACAAGAGUAAGUGAGAAUCAGUUGGUAGUUCGUGAGUCCAUUUCUUGUUUUUUUUAUCGUAAACAUCCCCAUUUCCUUGAUACUCGUAAUUCUUCAAACAGGUUCCAUCAGCAAGUUCUGUGCAAACAAAUAGUGAUUCCGUAAUUUAGGUACACUGAAAAGUCUACCAAUGCAAAACAGAAACUGAACAUUAAAGGGACUGUUGAAAAUACCUCGAAUUCUUCGUACUGUAUAAUCAGCUCUGACACUGUUUUGUGGCAGCAACCCCUUCAUCCACUCACCUUUCAUCAAUGCAUGAAGCUUUUGGUGUUCGGUAAUGGCAUCAAUACACUCCUGCAUAACGGGGAUAAAAGGAUUUUGUUGAGGGAAUUGUAGUUGGUUGGCUAUAGGCUUAGCUGUAUUUUAUCAAAAAAAGUACCAUUAGCUAAGAUCGAUAAAACUCAACAAAUGCAAAAAAUAAAUAAAUGAAAGACAGCAUCGGGAGAACUUACGCGUGGAUGCCUCAAGAGUUUGAACAAGAGUUGCACGUAAUUGAUGGAGUAGCCCUUCUUCCUCAAGAGUGAAUGAUGGUUGCCAUUCCUUUGACCUAUCAGGCGGAGACAAAACAGCCGGAUUUCCAUUGGUUGAUGGAUCAUUUCCUACUUGAUUAAUGGUUACAGAGAUAUUAAGUUUAGCAGCCGCUUUCAUUACCUAUAAGCAGAGGAUUUGUGAAUCUCGUAAUUAAAUAUUUCCUGGGAUUCCUCUCAAAAUUAUUGAAAACAUCAUAAAGCUAAAACAUCAUAACAUGACGAGAUUAUAUGGUGAAACUAAAAUGAUAGCAUAGAUGAGCGAAUGAAAAACCUGAAUGUGACUGGUUUCAAUUUUGUUCAGUAGAGGGUUUAGUAGAACCGAAGAAAACCAUUGUCUGAGUCGAUCACGCCAGUGCUCAAUUUGAGGAUAGAUUCCCAAAUGCCCAAAAGCUUCAACAUACUCCUCCAUUGACAUCGGAGGUGGAAGCUCGCCUUCUCCUUUCUUCGGAGGAGUGGUAAAUUUUUGGGAACCGGGAGACAUCCUCACAGGCCUCAGUGGUGUACUUCUUGUAGUUCCAGAUGUAUUAGCUGAACUUGCAACAGUAUUCGGACUAGCUAUUCCAAAUCCACUGAUGGUUGGUGGUGGGGUAGCUAGUUUUCCUGCUGAUUCGGUGAUUUUCUCAUCUACUUCGGCAAGAAACUGUUCAAGUUGCUCUUCUGUUGUAAUUUCUUUGGCAUAGGAGGAUCGCUUAGUGGACCAUGGGGUUUUCACUAGAGGCUCUUGUCCCGGUGAAGUUUGACGAGAAGAUAAUGACGAAGUGGAUGCCGGAACAAGAUAUAAUGAAGAAGGGGAGCCCUGGGAUCUGGAUGGUGUAGCAAAAGGGCUCAUCUUAUUUCCACCACUGGUAUUUGAUUUAUUAGAGCUAGCUAGAGACUUACGAUCUGAGCCACUAAUUGAUGGAUGAAGUGGUACAAGAACAUCCGAAGAAGAUAAUGCUGCCAGGGGUUUGGACUUGGGAGGUUUCUUAGAAGAAUCCGGUGCAACUUGCUCAACCUUCGAUUUUACUCCUAAAAGCCCCAGCUGACGCUUUGUUAGGUUAGGUUGAUUUUUAGUUCCUUUAGAAGGAGAUACAAGUGACAAACAACUACUGGUGCUCUUGCUUCGAUGCCAAGAGAUAGCUUUGAAUAAGGCAAAAACUGUUCCAACAAAAACUACACCUGAUGCAACUUGUACUGCCUUGGCAAAUAUAUCUGAAGCACCAAUAACACAUUUCAAUAACAGGAAAUAGAGCACUUAAAUUCAAGAAUCAAAGGAAUUAAAUCUGCAAAUGAUAACUUACAAGCCACUUCAUCGGACAAAUUUCCGAACUUAAAUUUAUCAGCGAACCCAUUUCCACUACAUCAAUGUGAGAUAAAAUGAUUGUGUUAGUGAAAUGAAAACACAUUCAAAUUGAAAAAAAAGUAUAGACAAGAAAGACAAAAGUCGGUAGCAUUUAAAAGGUUAGUUUUCUCCAUUUGAAAGCAGAGCAAAGGAAGAAAAACUCAAAUUUGGCUAGAUGAUUAUCGAGUUGAGCUCAAGCAGUUGACCAAGCUGAACUUGAGUAUCCUUAUGUUCGACUCAAGUAGCUUGGCAAUGUAAUAGCCUUUUUAAAUUUAUCAUAUCAAUACAUACUUUGAGCCUAAAAAUCCAAGAUUGAAGUGAAACAUGAGAAUCAAAUUCAUAUUUACUAAGUACAGAGCUUAAUUGAUUGUAUUCAAGCAAGUUCGAGUUGUUUGAUUUUUAUCUCAAAUCGAACUCAACCUUAAAAGGUGAAAACAUAACGAGUUAGACACAAGUUUUCGAGGUUCAAAUUUUGAACCGAACUAGAAUUCCUUACUGCUUGAGCUCAAACUCUGACUUCGAUUACACCCCUAAAUCCUACUAAUUACCUAACCCUAAUCCUAUCUCUGCUUGUCUCUUACUAAAUGAUGCAUAUUGGCCUGCAACAGUCCACAACAUAUCAUCGAACUACCUUUCCAUUGAUGAUUCCCUUACAAACCUCGGCUUUCUUUUAAGUAUUCAUUGAAACAAAAAGGAUCGUUUAAUGCAUUUUUCUUCAGAAACAAAAUGCAUAUCCAUCACUAGAGAGAAGAAACAAAACCCUUUUUGCUUAAACCCUCCUAGAACCCUAAAACAACCGCCAUAUGUAUAAAAUGUAUGUAUAGCAGGAAAAGACUUGAAACUAUUGCGUUUAAUGAAACAAAAGAAAAAGCCCAAAAAGGGGAAAGUAAAGAACCUGUAAAUUGUGGAGAGGAGAGCAAAUGCAGAAGCAGAGGAGAGAGAAAGGAUACAAAGAAAAGUUGAUUUAGAGGGCUUUAAACUUGUCGCCGUUAAAGCGGCGGAUAACGUGGGGUUUUGGUAGACAGAGAACUUAGAGGGCUUCGACGGCGGCGAACCCCUGUCUUGGCCGGCGGCAGCUUCCAUGUUUUAACCGCGAAAUUUGGGGAUUUUGAAAGAGAUUUGUCUCUUUUUUUCUGGGUUUAUGGCACCCCGCUCUAUUCUCUAGCAGCUUUAGGAACUUAAGCACAGACUGAACAGUCACGUUGGUUUCAAAAAAGGGUUAGGGUAAAGUACAACUAAGGUCAUGAAAUUAUUAAUAAAUUUAUAUUUUGACCAUUUAACUUCAAAAAGUUACAAAAUGAUCACUAAACUAUUUUAAAAUUUUAUUUAAAUCACUGAACUAAAUUAUUUAAAAAAAAGUUUAUUUAAGUUAUUAAAUUAUUAAGGUUUCUUUCUUAAAUAUGACUGGUAAGCUCCAAACGAUAAUUUGACAAUUAAUAUGGUGAAUUAGUACCUAUCAAUACGUAAAGUAACAUAUCUAAUAUUUAAGCCAAUCUAACGGUUAGUGUCGAAGUUUUGAAAAGAAAGUUAUUUAGACUUUGGUUUGUAAAUUCGUGACAUUUAAAUGUGUUUCAUGAAAAAACUAAAUUGUAAAAGAGAAAGGGAACGAGAGCUUUUGAUCUGUGUAAGCGAUACGAAUUGAAAAAGCCAUACAACAGUGAUUUUGUAACUUUUAAAUAGUCCAAUAACUAUUUGUAACUUUUUGAAGUUAAGUGACUGAAACAUAAACAUACUAAUAAUUUAGUGACUUUAGAUAUAAUUUAUCCAAUGAGUUAAUAUAACUUUUAGCCUAUUAACUUAGCAAUUAGAUCACAAUUUUUUUAAUCCAUUCUAGCAUUUGAACUUAAUGAAUAGAUUUAUUAUAAUCCGUGGAUUUGACAAAUAUAAAAAACUUAACAAUAUGACACUCUGCAAUUAUGUCACGUCAUUGCCUCAAAUUAAGAGUAUCAUGACAUCAAACUUGAUGAAAUCAAAGUUCAGGAUUAAAAUAAACUUACCAAAGAAGACAAAAAAAAUGUAAAUACAAAAAUAGACUUAAUUACUAUGUUUUUUUUAGAGGGAUCAAUUUAACCAAUAACGACAUUGAGAGAGAUAAAGAAAUAUCGAUUUUUCCGAAUUCUAAGGUAUAUAAAUGUAUUUUUAUUUAUUAACACAAAUUAAAUAUAUAUACAACAUUUUAACUUUACCAUCGAACUAAAAUUUUAUUUUAAUAUAAUAUUUACAUUUUAAUUUAUUUUAUAAAUUAAUUAAAUUGAUGUUACAAAUUAACUCAAUACUAAAUAUUAAUAACAAUAGUACGAUAAACAAUUGUAAUACAUUUAGUAUUAUUAAUAUAAUUUAUUUACGUGUUUAAAUUUUAUUUUACUCACAAUUUAAUUAAUUUAUUUUUAUUUUAAUAAAUUAUAUAUUUAAUGUGUUAUUAUUAAUUAAUUUUAAAUUAUAUAUUUUUUAUUUAUCAUUCGCGUAAAUAGAAGUUCUAGUAGUAUUUAUAUUAAAUUAUAAAUUAAAAUAUAAAAUAAAUUAUCUAUAUUUAACCUAAUCAUAUCAAUGCUCGAACCUUCUCGUGCAACCUAUAAAUAACCCUGACCAUUAAGUUUAUUACCCUUUUACCCUCCCAUUUUCUCGCCUUUUAUCUUCUAUCUAAGAGAAAAAAAAAUUAAAGGAGAAAAAGGGCAAAAAAGAAAAAAAAAAACAUUUCCUUCAACCAAAGUACACCAAACCAUGCCAAGAGGUUCAUCGCAGUCGCAGUCGCAAUCCUCCACUUCCUCCUCCACGUCCCGGCCGGGCGUUAUGGCUCCUCGCGGUUCCGCGGCCGCAGCAGCCGGUAUGCGCCGCCGGAGGAUCGUCGGAGGUUCUUCAUCGGCUACCGCCUCUGGAUCCGUGGGUUCCGGUUCCGGGGGCAACAUGCUUCGAUUCUACACCGACGAUGCUCCCGGAUUGAAGAUCUCACCUACCGUCGUCCUCGUCAUGAGCCUUUGCUUCAUAGGUUUCGUCACGGCUCUUCACGUUUUCGGCAAGCUGUAUCGCGCCAAAGCCGGAGCUGGACCGUGAGGGUCUUGGCUCGGACCUGAUCCUCUUUCUAUUCGGACCUCCGAUCCGUUACUGAACCGGUAACUGAAUUUCCGCUUCACUCCUUUCUUCGUUUCUUUCGUUGUUUGACCGUUUCUGGCGUUUAGUCUCUGUAAAUAAUGAUGGCAAGCUUGUAAUUAUACAGUACUUUUGAACGUCGUGAACCUUUUUAAUUUGCGUUCAAGUUUGAUAAAAUGAAUAUGCUUUUUCUCUUUGAAGUUCUUGGGGCUGUUCCCUCCUUUUGCUAGCUUUAAUCCAAAAGUGACGUCUUUCACGCUCGUUUUUUAGUUUUUUAAGGUAUAUGGCUUGGCUGCUAGUUUUCUUUAAUAAUUUAGGCAAAUAUCGGUUUGAACAUUGAGUCACGCAACAAAUAUCGUAUGUGGCUCUUUUAAUCACUUUUUAUUUAAAUAAAUAAAUUAAAUUAUUUUUUUCUUAAUCGGAUCCUGUUCUUUUAGGUUUAAAUUUUAUUGUGUAUAUUGAAUUGAUUUUAAUUUUAGGGUGAGUUUGGAGAGGCGGUGUGUUUAACUGCGGUUAGUGUAAAAAUAGCGGUGGCGGUGUGAUUAGAUACUGUAGCGAUACUGUAGCGUGAGACAAAAAGUAAACUAAACGCAUCGCACCGCACUCAAUCGCUCAUCCAAACCCACUCUUAGAUGACGACGAGUUUAUCAUUACACGGUCCUUAUGGCACUGUUUUUAAACUCAAACCCAACUCGCUUCAACGAUUAGAUCAGAAAUCAAUAAUGAUAUUGACUUCAAGAAAAUUUAUAGAUUGAUCAGUAAAACGAUUGAACUAUAUGAAUUGAUAACUUAAUCGGUUUACCAUCAAUCCAAUUCAAUUCAAUGAUGCAAAAUCAUCAUUUAAACAAAGUUUGUUACUUAAAAUACCGAAAAACAAGUAUUAGAUAUUAAUGCACUGAUAAGGUAUAUUAAACUUUUAAGAGAGAAUGUAAUUUUAAAUUUUAAAGAUAACAUUAUCAAAAAAGUAACUACGAAUCCUAAAUAAAAAGGAAAUAUACCUCUAUGAUUGGAUCAGAAACCGAUAUUGGUAUUCAUUUAGAGAGAAAAAUUAAAUUGAUUGAUCCGUAAAAUGAUUAAACUAGAUGAAUUCAUACCUUAACAAAUUUAUCAUCAAUCCAGUUCAAGCAUACGAAAUCAUCUUAAAUUUUGUUAUAUAAAAAACCAAAAAUGGCCUUGUUUUUCGCACAACUAGAAAAUUCAUAUAUAAACCAACAAGAAUUUGGAUAUUAGUGCAGUAAUAAGGUAUAUUUCACGUUUUAAGAGAAAAUGUAAAUUUAAAUCUUAAAGAUAAUAUUAUUAGAAGGAUAACUAUGAAUCCCAAAUAAAAUCUUUGAAUGGGUCACUCAUAUACACUAGACAUAGUCGCAUUAUUAAACGUAUUAUGUUUGUGUCCUAUCUUAUCAUUCGAGUUGACUACAAGCACACAUUAUUAACCUUAAUAUUUUCAAACCACUAUCAUCCGAAAGUCUCAAAAACUACACAUUUAUUAAGCAGAUGUUUAUUCACGGUUUGAUGUAUUUUAGGAUUUUAAUAUUCAUUAUAAAUAGAUUUUUAUUUCAUUUAUUUUCAUUAUCUCUAUUAAUAUAGACAUUGAAGAAGCAUUGUAAAUAUCUUCAUUAAUUAAUAAAAAUCUCUUAUUUCUUAUUCUUUUAAUUUAUACUCGAUUUAUUUUUCUCACUUUUCGCUCGUGUGUUUUCUACCCUUUAUUAUUUAGUCCCUAUUUUUAACCCUUUCUUUAUUUUCCCAAUAGCCCCCCCAACUCUGGCCUUAAGGAGAUCCUUAUGAACUAGACCUGUCCAUGGGCCGGGCGGCCCGGCCCGAUGGCCCGCCCGAAAUAUGGGAGGGUUCGGGUAAAAAUAUAGGCCCGAAAUAUGGGCUUGAGCAAAAAAACGAGGUCCGUUUAAAAAUGGGCCGGGCUCGGGCUCAAAUUUUUGGCCCGAGCCCGGCCCGGCUUGGCCCGGCCCGAAUAUAAUAAAUAUAUUUUAUUUUAUUUUAAAAUACUUUAAAAUAUUUUUCAUUUUUUUAUUUUUAAAAUAUUUUUUGUGUUUAUUAAAAAUCGGGCCGGGCCUGGGCAAAAUUUUAGGCCCAUAUUUCGGGUCGGGUUGAGCCCAGGCCUAAGAGUCAGGCCAAAAAUUUUUUCCGAGCCCGGCCCGGCCCAUGGACAGGUCUAUUAUGAACCAACCCCAAUAACUAGCCACUAACUUAAUUUCAAAUUUUAAUCUUUAUGCGUGUAUAAAAUCUAUAAAAAUCAAGCUAUUGUGAGGAUAGAGAUCAUAAACACAAUAUGCGAGGAUUAGUAGGAAGUUUCUCCUUUAAAUAUUUUGUUUCUAGAUUUACUUUAAUUUUAAUUUUAAUUCAUUAUUAAUUAUAAUCAAUUCGAUUAACUUGUUUUAUUUGUUUCUUUCGAGGAUGGUGAAAAUUUUUAUCCCAACAUUGAUUUAUGAAGCAAAAUUUUAGAUUGAUAAGGAGUUUCGACAUAUUUUUAUUCAGGUAUAACUGUGAUUAUUAUUUAUUUUAUAUCUGAUUGAAUUAUCGUGAUAAAUUUUUGUGACAUUGAUUCUCUUUAAAUAAAGAAUAUAUUAGGAUGGUUAGAAGUCUGUCCUAUUAGAUCUAAUAUUGCAUUCCUUGCACUAAAUGCAAGCAUAACAAAUUUUGAUUAGAGCACCAUACGAUUUUAUACCAUAUACGUGGUAUUAAAAUUUGGCAUAAUGUGUAUUAGAUAAUUUUCAAGCAUAAUAAAUAGAAAUUUCAUUGUUUUAUAAAUCGUCUUUACUAUUAAUUUACUACUAAUUUGUAAAUGUUAUUAUGAGUAAGAUAAAAUCUUGAUUUUAUAAAUAGUUUUUUACUAUUAAUUUAUAAUUGUUAUUAUGAAAGCAAUGAUGUUUUAAUACUUGUAAUUGUGCUUGUUAUAAUAGUCACGGUGAUGACGAUGAUGUUAAAUAUCUUCGGGUAUAUUUUAAUAUGAUUUAUUUUAUUGCAACGUGUUUCUUUUUUUAUAAUUGAAGAUUAAUCAUGAAAUACGUAGAAUUUGAGAUGUCAUAUGAAGUUGUCAAGAGGGGGAGUAAAUACGUGUUGUACUCUUCUCCCCUUAACCAAGGUUUUAUUCAGUUGAAUUUUCUUGGUAAUGUUUUUAAUGAUAUAACAUGUUAUGCGCAUUAUAAAUAUGUAUACUCUUUUUCCUUCAUUAGGAAAUUUUUUAUACACAGAUGAGGCCUAUUAUUUACCAAUAAACAUCCAAAGAACAGUGUUGUGAAUAUUUUAUUAUUAAGUGGAUGUUCAUCAAUAUCAAGAUAAGCUCGAUAUACUUCAAGACUCUAAUAUUCAUUAGAAGUAUAGUUUUAUUUGAUAGAUCGGAUCGGGUUAAAAAUUAUCAGAUUCAGAUUAUUUUAUAUUUUUAUUUGCAAAACUAAAGAAAUUCAAUAUUUAAAAAAAGUUUUAAUUAAGAAUGAAGAAAGAAAUGACAAGUUGAUUGAAUUUGAGACAUUUAAAUAGUUGAAAAAUACAAGCUACCAAUAUAUGAAAACAAGCAAUCAUCAAACUCUCUUGCUUUUGGAAGACAAUUUGAGUCCUGCUUUAGUUAUCCCAUUUUAUCAUGCCAACCACCUUUUAGCUUUUCCUUUUUAAUAAUUUUUUUAUAUUUAUUUUUUUAUAUAAUGUCUAGAAUGUCUAGAACUAGCAAUAGUCGCUCCCUAACUCAAUUAUAAUUUAGAUUUUAUUUAUUUAAUACUUAUAUAUUAUUAAAUUUAUUUUUUUAAUUAUUAUUUUUAUAAUUUUAAAAAAAUUAAAUUUUAAAUGCAAAAUAAAAUUAAUAUAAACCAUAACACAAAUAAUGAACAAUCAUGACUAAUAUAAUUAACUAUUUUUUUAUAAAAAAAUAUAAUUAAAUUUUUGCUAUGUAAAUAACAUAUAAAAUUAAGUAUUCAUAAUUUUAUUAUAUAUACUUAUUCAAAUCGAUUAUAUUAAUCAGCUCAUUUCGUUACUAAAAUGAUUACCUUAACUAUUAAAUCUUUAAAUUUUUCAUUUUAAAUUAUGUCAUAUAAAAUUUGACGUGUCAUUUGACAGUUUUAGUAAUGGAAGGAUUUAAUUGAUAUAAUCUCGACAGUUUAAUGAUGUAAUUGAUAAAAUUAAAAGAUAUAUAGGGAUAAAAAAAAUGAAAGCACCUCUAAUACUUACUAUUACUGACUCGUAACCCGAAUGGAUCUAAGUCGGAUUCUACACGAUUUGCAUGUUAAGCUCGCAUACCAAGUUCGCAGAUCGAGUUCGCGUAUUGAGUUCGGCAAUGAUUUUAAGUGUUCCCAAGAGAGGUAUUUUAUACUCCCCUAAAAGGUUACACGUAAGGUCGCACGUAGAACUAUAUAAAUAUGAGUUAAAUCUAGAAUAUGACACGUGUUAGCAUGCAUAGAAUAUAUUCUAAAAUAUCGCAUCAAUAAAUCUACCAUCCUACCAUCUAAAGAGUACAGAAAAAAAACACUCAACAACCUCAAAAUUCAAUAAUCAUAACAAUUAACUCUGGUGACAGUACUAUUUAAAUGAUAAAAAUAUGGUAUAAAACAGAAAUUUAAAGGAUAAUAACAUGUUUUUAAAAACACAAAAUAACAAAAAAAAAAACAUGCACUCAAUCUCACCAUAUUUUUCCCCUCAAAAUCCCAUAUUUAAUUUUUUUUAAUUUUUAUUUUACUAUAAUCACAAAGAAAUUAAUGCAAUAACUAUGGCAGUAACCCCAAAUAAACCAACAUUGUUUCCUAUAGUGAACCUCACAGCUUUAGAAUUAUCAGUAGAAUCAUCAGCAGGACUGUCAGCCACAUCAUCAUCUUUCUUCUUCUUCGAUUUCGCCGGAGCAGGCGCUGGGGCCGGAGGUCUAGGAUCGAAUAUCUGUAAAGGCUGAAGAACUCUAUCUAUUUGAUAAACAGCAAGUUGACCGUCGGUAUAAACUGUACCGGAAACACUAGUAUUAGUCAACCCCGACGUAAUGUUCACGGUGUCUCCCGACGAGGUAACGUUGAGAGGGAACUUCCCGUCGCCGCUAUCACCGGCUUGGGUUCUUAAAGGGUUACUAAUGGUUUGAAACUGGGCUGAAGAGAGAUAAGUUGGGAUUAUAUGGAAUUGGAUUAACUCUACCUUUUGUUCGUCGGAAAGUGAGUUCAACGUGCCGGAUUUUAAGCUCGAAAAAGCACUGUCGCUCGGUGCGAAAAUAGUGAUCCCAUUGUUGGUGUUGUUGAGUUGGCCGAGUAACUGGUUCGCGACUUGCGUGGCUUUCAUUAACCGGAUAAAAGUAGAGAAUUGGCCGGCUUUUUCGAGGAUUUUUGUGACGUUGGUUGGACCGGGUGGUGCCGGGGAUGAUGCCGGUGCUAGUACUGGUGUUGCCUUUGGAGCUACCACCGGAGCUGCUGCCGGAGCUUGGGCUAAGGUUAAUAAUGUUGAACAAGAAGUAUGAAGGAGAAAGAAAAGCAUAAGGUGAUCAAAUUGCUUCAUUAUCAUAUAUAAUUAUAUAUCACUCUAUAUAUUCAAUAUAUGCCUUAAAAACACUAUGUUUGGAUGUGUUUAUUUUAUAGGAAGAGAAAUGGGGGAAAUUAGGGUUUUUAUUAUGGGAGAUCGAGGGAUCAAAAUUAGGUAAAAUGUUCAAUUUUAGUUAGCUAAUUUCUUUUUUUAAUGGACAUGAUUUGAUAACAUUGUUUCAUCAAACUCUAUUGCUUGGAAAAGCAGGAAAAACAACAUAAAUAGAUUUUAUUUUUUGGUUUUUAAAAUGGGAUUUAUUAAGAUUAUUCGUGUUCUGUAAGUCCAUUAAAAAAAUAAACCAUGAAAUACAUAUAAACUAUGGUGAUAUAUAAAAGUUUGUGUAUGAAUAUAUCAAUUUUUAUAUAAUGAAUGUGUCGAAAUUUUUGUAUAAAUACGACUAUGACCUGAGAAAAUACGAUUGAACCGGAGAAUUAUUGGAAUUAUUAAAAUAAAAAAGAGGUGAAUGAUUGCUUUAAUUUUACUUUGUAUUUGAUAUUUUGGACAAAAAAAUAUAUACUUUUGAUUGUUACUUUCUACCUUAAGAAAAGAAAAGAAUGUUUCCACAGAAAAAAAUUGAUGGAAAAUGGCUGCUGGUUUGUAUGUUAAUGGGAUAUUCAGCUGGCCCUCUAAAAUAGAAUUUUUUUUAUUUAAAUAUUUUAAAAUUUUAAAUUAGUAAAGGUAAAAUUGUACUUUAAUCCCCUAAAAAUAUAAAAGCUUAAUUUAACCUUUUAAAAGUUAUAAAGAUAUAGGCUAUUAAAAUUGUGAAAUUAUAUUUUUGUUAUCGUAAAAAUUACAAUUUAUUUUCGGCCCCCUUAAAAAAAAAGUCUGAUUUCGCCCCUACUUAUAUUAAACCUUAAUAAAAAUAAUAAUGAAGUUGAAAUGUUUUUUUUUGUGAUUUUUUUAAAAUUAAGUAAUUUGCAUAUUAAAUAAAUAUAUAUGAAUCUUAGUUUUUUUUAAUAUUAAUCUCAUUAUAAUUUUUUAUCAUAUAUGUUCUUUUUGAUACAAUGCCUAAAACUAUCCAUAGCCCCUUUCCAACCCUGAAAUAGGAGGAUAAUGCACUUCAGCGUACUUGAACCCACAAUCUCUUGCAUAGACAACAAUAUUAAUACCAAUCAAGACAAGACUUAAUCGGUUGAACCUCAGGGUUUUUAAGACCUCAUCUUUGUUAUUAAGAUUAGGCUUUGUGGGUAAAACACUUUUUUUUAAUUAAUAUGAAAAUACUUUAUGGCGUUUCAUUAAAUCAAUACAAGGGAGGGAGGGUUGGCGAUGGCCCUGAUCUUCCUAGAAUGGAAAAUUCUCUUUUAGUCUAUUUAUAAUUUAUAAAAUUUUAUAGUAAUGAUAAAAUUGUACUUUGACCCCUGGAAUGAUAAAAGAAAAUUGAUUUAAUCUUUUAAAAAUUAUAAAGAUAUAGACAAUUAAAAUUGUGAAAUUGUACUUUUAUUAUUGUAAAAAUAUACAACUUAAUUCCGCCCCACCAAAUAUUUUUUUUUUGGACUUCGCCCUUGAAUCAAUAUGUAGUAUAAUACGAUAAGGAUGUUGUUAGCAGAUCAGAGACAAUUCAGAGAUUCACAGAAGUAUUUAAGGAGAAGACUUGUAAGUAGACCUAUCCAUGGGCCGGGCCGGGUUGGGCCCGAAAAAAAUUUCGGCCCUCCUCUUAGGCUCGGGCCGGGCCCGGCCCGAAAUAUGGGCCUAAAAGUUUGCCCAAGCCCGGCCCGACAAAAAAUAAUAAGCCCGAGCCCGGCCUGGCCCGGCCUGAUUUUUAAUAAACACAAAAAAAAAUUAAAAAGUAAUUUAAAAAUAAAAAAUAUAUAUUUAUUAUAUUUGGGCCGGGCUCGGGCCAAAAAAGUUGAGGCCGAGCCCGGCCCAUUUUUUAAACGGGCCUCAUUUUUUUGCCCAAAUCCAUAUUUCGGGCCUAUAUUUUUACCCAAACCCUCCCAUAUUUUAGGCGGGUCGGGCCGGGCCUCCCGGCCCAUGGAAAGAUCUACUUGUAAGUCAUGUAUUUGUCUUUUAUUAAUGUGUUUGUCAUUUUUGUUAGGUUGGCUAUACAACCUAAUGUAACAGAGUGAUUGGGCUGGUUAAUGACGAAUAAUCACGGUCUUAUCAAGAUGGUUGAUCUUGAUGCGGCUGUGACCAUAACGAGCUUUGUGCUCGUGCCUAGUUUUUGGCAAGAACUCAAUUCAACCGAAUAUAUGUAAUAAAGACAAUCAAACCCAAACAUAAAACAAGCCAUAAUAUAACUCAAUAAGCCUACCCAACAUUGAAUGGGCCUCAUUAAGCAAAUGACCCAAGAUAGUGAAAAUCCAAAGAUACAUUUUUUAAGUUUAGAAAUAAUAAGGUAAGAUUAACAUUUAAAAAUACUUAAUGAUAGUACAUUGAAUCUUAAUCCGAUUGAUAUGAGUAUUGUUAUCAAUGUAAGAAUAUGUGGGUUUGAGUGCUAAAGUGCAUUAUCCUUCUAUUUAUGGAUUAAAGAGUAUUGAUAUGAGUAUUGUUAUCAAUCUACUUGAUGAGCUUACAGAAUGCGAAAAAUUAGUUACUAGGUUCGCUCUAGUGGAUAUCUCAGGAAACUAAAAAGAAAAAUUCACAUCAACUACUAAAAAUAUUAAGGGUCCUAAUUAUUUAGACAAAUUGAAAACACUAUUAUUAUUUUUUAAUCAUUAUAAGAUCAUGAUAGAUUUGUAAUUUCAAUCUCUCUGUUAUGCUCACAUUUGAGAUUCAAUCUUCAUUAAUUUGAUGUAAUUUGAUAGUCUGCUUUUAUAAUGACAUUAGUUGAUCAAAAUAAUUAACAUCCUUAGCUAUAACAAUUAAAAUGAUUACGUUAAUUUCUCUCAGAAACACCUCUGUAACACUAUAUAUAUUUCUACAUGAAGUUGGAACGGGUAUUUUUAAGAAAAUUUGACCUCAACAUUUUGACCAAAAUAAUUAAGAUUAUCAACUAUUUAAACCGACUAAUGAUAUUAUGUAGAGAAACCAAAUUAUAUAAAAUUAAAGAAUAGAUACUAAAUUUUAAAUUUAAACAUAGCAUAUAGACGACAAACAUAAUUUGAUCUCAACAAUCUAUGCCUAAUAUAAAUUCUAUGUUUAAUUUUUUAACUUAAAUUAUAAAAAAAAUAUCAUGAAUAUCAAUACAUCAUAUCUGAUAUGAAAAUCUUUCAGCACUGAUAAUAAAAUUUAAUUAAUCAAUAUUAUCAAUUCAAAUAUGAUAAAAAAUAUAAAUAUAGUACUAAAACAAAAGAAAAACUAAAACCAGAGGAUUGUUAAGAAGAAGAAAAAACCUUAGCCACUCAACUUUCUAAAAUUAAAAUUUGACUUUGUUGAUGGUGGAGUGGCCUCUAAGUUAGGUACUUGUUACAGCCUCUUUAUUAAUAGUUUUUCUUCAAAUUUUAGUUUCAGUCUUCUUUAUUUUUAAAAAAUUUUGGUGGUUUUAAACCCCAUAUGUUGGCCUGGUAAUUGGGAUGUUUGUCACUCUAGAUGCAAGAGUUAAGUAAAAAAAAAAAUUAGGGGGCUAAAAUUAAAUUGUAAUUUUUAAUAAUCUAUAUAUUUAUAAUUUUUAAAGGAUUAAAUCAAAUUUUAUCAUUUUCAAGAGGGGACAAAAUGUAAUUUUACCUUUAUUAAUUUAAAUUUUUAAAUUUUCUAAAGGGCCUAAAUUGUCAAUUUUUCAUUUUAGGGGGGACUGGGGCCCUGCCAGCCUCCCCUAGAUCCGCCUCUGCCCAAAAGUAACAUGGGUUCAAAUCGCGCUAGUUGCGUUACUGUUAAGGUUUUUGUUUUAAUUCAUUCUAUUUUCUUCAAUUUUAUUCAUUAUGUUUUCUUUGAAUAUUUAUGGGUAACAGAUGAUGGUUUGUGGACUAAUUGGUUAAAUAUUUAUGGGGUUGUGAUUUAUAGGGGUUUUGAAAAAAUGGUGGAUUGUUUUUUGAGCGCUCAAAUUAGGGAUUAUUGUUGUUUGAUCCUACUCUAUAUGAUCACAUAAUACAAACCUCUACUUUAUUCAAAUUAUGUUUAGAUUAUUUUCAGAUUUAUUUAUACUUAAAUCUCUUGUUAUGUAUACGUGGGUUUUUUCAGAAUUAUUCAAUUUGAGAACUGCGCUAAAAGUAAUCAUGAGUCGGAUUGAAGCUUGGAAAUAUUUUUUCUUAUCUAAAUCCAAUGGUAUCAGCCACAAGUGAAAUUCAAAAAUUAUGCUGGGGGCUGGUUGAGUCUUAACUUGAUUAGAAUUGGCAUUAUUGCUAGUGCAGGAGGAUGAGGAUUCGAGUGCGUUGAAGCGUUAUUCUUCUAUUUAGGGGUUGGAGAGGGACUAUGAAUAGUUUUAGGUGUUAUAUAAAACGUAGCAGAUAUGAUAAGAUUAAUGUUAAAAAAAAUUAUACUGGAGGACUAUAAAUAAAUUAUAAUUUUUGGGAGCCAAAAUGCAAUUUUAAUUUUAUGUUAUCAUGUAUUUUUACAAUAUCUUAAAAGUAACAAGAAAAUUUCUCAAAAAAUUUAUUAAUAUUGAUUGAGCCUAACUUUAGUUAAUAUUAUUACUAUUAUAACAAGUAAAAAGACAUAAAUUUAAAUACGAUUAAACUUGUAUUUUUCUCCUAUUUAAAGGGAAAUACGAAUUAAGUGAAGGAAGCUGUUAGGCCAUUGAGUAAGACGUUAUGUUUAUAAGCCUUUUGGAAAAUUGCAACCCCCGUAUACCUAAGUUUGGUUAGGUUUAGCAAUUAGGGUUUAAUUAAAAGGAAACAUCUUUUGUGGUAACCAAUUAGCACAUUAAUACCAUGCAACAUAAAGCCAUGGAGAAGAGAUGGUUGAGGACCACCACUUGUCUCUAGUGCCACCACCCCUAAUUCAAAUCCAAGUAAUUUGUUUACUUUGACUAUCUAUAGGGUUCGCAUUGGAACAAAAUCGAUUAUAUUUUAUUCUGAUAACGAACGUGAUAAUCUUAUAAUUCGGAUUUGAUCAUCGAGUCGAGCAUGAGGUACAUGUGGCACAUCAUAUGUCAUUAAAUGGUUAUCUUGUCAAUCAUGCUUUUUUUUUGGUUUACUUCAUGUUCGUUUUACGAUCUAUGUUCAGGGUUCGUAGCUGUCUCUCUCAACAAUAUCAUCUCCAAGUUUCGAACUUGAGUGAGUCUUCUUAUUGGGAGUGCAAUAUAUCUUACUAUUGCACCCAAUCACUUGUUGGUCAAUCAUGUUAAUUUUUGACAGUACAAAUGAAUGAAAUUUUUAAUAUAAACGAUUACUGAUCUCUUUAAUUUAAUGUAUAAAGACUAAUUUACUCAUUUUUUUCAGAAUAAAAUAAAAUAUAAUCGUACUCCUAACCUCUAUAUUACUUUUACCCACAUUGUAUAUUAAAAAAUAUAAAUUUAAUAUUUAUCGCUUCAAAAAUAAUAUUGCAAGAAUUAAAAUAUAAUAUAAUUAAUUUUUUAAUUUAAUCGAAAUUUAAUAUAACUACCAAAAUAACCUUUCAAACAAACAAAAUUUAAAAAUUUGGUUGGUGGUUACAAUAAAUUGGAAUUUAAUUUCGGCUUGACAUUAAUUCGAGCUUUCAAAUUUGCAACUAUCUUCAAUAUAACUACCAACAUCUUCACCUCUCAAAUUUCAAAAAUCUUUUACUAUUCUCUUAGCUUUCACCGACAAAAAAAAUGGCAGCGAAGCAAACGACGAUCCUCGUUGCCGCCAUCCUCGUAACGGCUUUUUACGGCGGCGCGGCGACAUCGGCGCAGGCACCGGCAGCUGAUCCAGCGAUGGCCAUGUCGCCGUCCGCCAUGGCACCGACGCCGGACUGUAUGACGAACUUGCUCAACUUAUCGGAUUGUUUGACGUACGUGGAGGCCGGAAGCAACUUGACGAAGCCGGACAAGCCUUGUUGUCCGGAAUUGGCUGGGCUAGUGGAAAGUAGCCCUCAAUGCUUGUGCUAUUUGAUGGAUAAGAAUGCGACGGCGAACUAUGGGAUCAACAUUGACAUGGAAAGAGCUCUUAAGCUGCCUAAUGUUUGCCAUGUCAAAACCCCUCCUGUUAGUCUUUGUUCUGGUAAUUCUACCUUUCCCUCUUCUUUUUUUUACUACCUUUCAUGAAUUUUUGAUGGAGUAUAACUGGUCUUGUUGUUUGGAUUGAGAAUUGGCGGGUAAAGGAUUGAAUAAUUUUGAAUGAGAAAAUAACAACCGAAAAUUAAAACAGGAAAACUGAUUGAAUUGAUUUAUAGAUUUUUUAAUUGUUUAUUUAGUUAUUGGAUGAAUAUAACGAGGAGAAUUAAAUAUUGAACUCAAAUUUGUUAUAAUUGUUAGCGUUAAUUGUAAGAUAUUUUCAAACUAUACUUUCGAUUUUAAAUUUGGUUCGAAAGUUUAAAAAUAUUGUAAUUAAAUUUUUAAAUUUUUUUAGAAUAUUCUUUAUAUCAAGAUGGUCUUUUCCGUUAGUAUUUCAUAAAUUUAAGCUUCAAAUGUCAAUUCAAAAUUGAUAUGUAUAACUUUAGAUCUUAUGUUUUCGAAAAAUAUAGACGUUAACAAUUUAGGUGGAUUAUAUUUUAUUUUAAUACAUUGAAUCUAAGCUGUUAUGCAUUAAGUAUACACGUGUUUAUAAUUUAAUUUACGUAUUUUAAAUAUGCUCAACAUUUUAUCCAAUUAGAACUACUUGAUUGAUAUGAUAUUAAAAUAUUGAAAACUUAAUUAAAACAUCUUGAAGUUUUUGGACCAAUUUAACAUUUGGACCAUAGUUUGAAAACAUUUGUUAGAAUUAACCCAACAUUUUCAAAGAUAAUUACAAUAUGAAUUAUAUUGGUUCUUUUUAAUACAAUUUCUUAAAUUAUUUAUAGUCUCACAAAACUCAUAACUAAAAGAAUAAUGUGUUUUAGCUCAUUCAAACUUAUGUCUUCUUAUAUUGGUAAAAAUGUCCAUUUCAAUUGAACUAAGACUCCAUCGACGAGUAGGAUUUUUUUUUGGGAACACAAUAUGAGCGAUUUUAUAGUAUUUUUUAAAAAUAUAUUUUUAAUUGUGAAAGUAUUAAUACAUAAUCACAUUUAAUAAUAUACAUUGAAAUGAAGCUUUGACUGUUGAAUUUAUUAUUUCCCGAGGCUGUUUUAUAUAGUCUAUAAUAGUAGAAACAUAAUAUAUUUAUAAAUCAUAUAAAUUUUGGUUAAUACAUAUAUUCAUGAUAUUUUUUUAUUUUAUUUUUUAAUGUUAAUUUUUGUACAUUAUAUUUAAAGAAUAGUUUGGGUGAUGGGGGGGGGUAUAGUUGGGUCUCAUUUAAUAUGUUUGAUGGGGGCAUUUAAGGUUUCUCGGUUAGCUCUCAACUAAUUUUACCGCUCUGUCCUUUUUCCAAAUAAAUGAAUCACGUGCACACUGCCUUUUUCAUUUAAAUAAGAUUUUAUUACCAAAACAUUAAUGUUAUUUUUAAAAAAAAAUCGUAAAAAUUGUUAAUUUUCACACGAGAAAUUAUUUUAUGUAAUUUUCUCAUAUUAUUCAUAAUUUUUAAUUAUUUAAUUAUAUUUCAAUAAAUUUUUUUAUGUUAACACAUAAUUUUAAUAACUUUUUUUUAUCUUGAACCAUAGACCUCAAAUCUCAAAUAUUAAAUCUCAAACUUUAAACUUCGAACUCCAAAUUAUUUGAAAUUUGAAGUUCGAGGUUUGAAUUUGCGGUUCAAAAGUUCAUGUUUGAGAUUUAAAGUUCAGGAUCAAAGUUCAAAAUUUUGGAUUCUGGAUAAAAAAUUUAUUAUCACGUAUUAUAUUUAAUGUAAAUAUUAUUAUCAUUAAAAUUUUAAUUGAUAUUAACAAUUUGUAAUCCAAUUCUCGUCUCAAAAUUUUAAAAAUAGAACUUAAUCAAACUUUAAAAUCAAGUUUUAUUCAUUUACAUAAACCUUGAACGUUAAAUUUAAUAGUUAGAACUAUUAACAUUUAUUUCCAUGAACUCAAACAGCUAUCAUCGGGGCUCCAAUCGGAGUUCCAACUCAAAGCACUGAAGGACUUGUGUCGCCAGCAUCCGAGCCAACAGGUUCCGUAGCAUACGGACCGACUCCAUCCGCCAUGGCACCAACACCGGACUGCAUGACAAACUUGUUUAACUUGUCGGAUUGUUUGGGGUACGUGACGGCUAGAAGCAACCUAACGAAGCCGGACAAACCUUGUUGCCCGGAGUUGGCCGGGCUCGUGGAAAGCAGCCCUCAGUGUUUAUGUUUAUUGUUGGAUAAAAACGCGACCUCGAGUUAUGGGGUCGACAUUGACAUCGAUAGAGCUCUUAAGCUACCUAAUGUUUGCCAUGUUAAAACCCCUCCCGUUAGUCUCUGCUCUAGUAAGUAUAUUAAUUUCUUUUAAGAAUUUAAUUAAGUCUUAAAAGUAUCGAUAAAAUAUCAAUCGAGAUAUUUAUUUAACUUAAUCAUUAUCUCCAGCAUUAUAAGUUAAAUAUAUUGCAAAGUAAUCACAAAAUUGAUUUUUAUCUCGAAUUGAAUUCCUGC
rnacentral:lncRNA from 1 species